GCCCACAUAGCUCAGUCGGUAGAGCACUUCCUUGGUAAGGAAGAGGUCACCAGUUCAAAUCUGGUUGUGGGCUCCA
rnacentral:tRNA from 1 species